UCGACUUCUUACUUCCCGUUCCCGGAACCGACGCACCUUCACUUGUUCCGUUCCCUUUCAGCAUAAUACCCCCAAUGCCGGCGUCAAGAAUGGGACUUUGGUCAGGAGCAGACACCCGACGAGCGGGAAGAGUAAUGGGAGAAAGAAGGAACUUACAAAAAAGAAAGGGAAAGAUAAUGUACAAUUUCAUGGCACUGUCAACUGUGAGAAGAUUGUCAUAAACUUGGUGGAAAUAUGCCCAGAAUGCUGA